rnacentral:tRNA from 1 species
UCCCAGGUGGCUCAGUGGUAAAGAACCUGCCUGCCAAUGCAGGAGACCCGGGUUCGAUCCCUGGGUUGGAAA